rnacentral:rRNA from 1 species
UGGGGAAUUGUUCGCAAUGGGCGCAAGCCUGACGACGCAACGCCGCGUGGAGGACGAAGAUCUUCGGGUCGUAAACUCCUUUCGAUCGGGAAGAACGGCUUCGGGGCCAACAUCCCUGGAGAGUGACGGUACCGAGAGAAGAAGCCCCGGCUAACUCCGUGCCAGCAGCCGCGGUAAUACGGGGGGGGCAAGCGUUGUUCGGAAUUACUGGGCGUAAAGGGCUCGUAGGCGGCCAACUAAGUCGGAUGUGAAAUCCCCAGGCUUAACCUGGGAACUGCAUCCGAUACUGGAUGGCUUGAAUUUGGGAGAGGGAUGCAGAAUUCCAGGUGUAGCGGUGAAAUGCGUAGAUAUCUGGAGGAAUACCGGUGGCGAAGGCGGCAUCCUGGACCGACAUUGACGCUGAGGAGCGAAAGCUAGGGGAGCAAAC